GUGAAUCAUCAAAUUUUUGAACGCAAAUUGCACUCUCUUCGGAGAGUAUGCCUGUUUGAGGGUCAGCCUAAAAAAAAUCGACAUAGUUGCUGUUACGCGGUAACAUUCGUCGGAAUUGGGUUAACUUAAACCCUUGGGUUUAAACGGCCUAAAAUUUUCUUUUACAUUCCCAGAACGGUUCUUAGAUUUUUUUUUCUUUUACGUUUUAGGUAUCCAU
rnacentral:misc_RNA from 1 species